GGUCUGUUCGCCCUUUAAAAUCUAACAUGAGCUGAGUUCAGAACGGCGUGAGCUAGUUCAGUUUCUAUCCUCUUUUUAAAAUGAGCUAAUUUUGUACGAAAGGACUUUUUCGCUAAAGCAAUGCUUUGUCACAAAUCUGUGGUUGCAUAAAUAAUAGUGUAUAACAGGUUGAUUAGCCUAUAGGAAGGGUUG
rnacentral:rRNA from 1 species